rnacentral:misc_RNA from 1 species
AACCAUAGAAACCUGCGGAGUACCUGCGGAGGGAUCAUUAUUGAUUUUUAAAGGAUGUGCUGGCUCUUCCGGAGCAAUGUGCACUCCUAACAAAAAGCCAAUAUCCACCUGUGCACCUUUAGUAGGCAGGAAAAGGCCCUUGCCCAAGGGCUUUUUUUUUUUGUCUAUGUUUUCUAUCAUAAACCCCUGAUCUAUUUGAAUGGUUAUACAACAAAUAAUACUUUUGUAACACAACUUUCA